AAAGGAACGCUAAUACCGCAUACGUCCUACGGGAGAAAGCAGGGGACCUUCGGGCCUUGCGCUAUCAGAUGAGCCUAGGUCGGAUUAGCUAGUUGGUGAGGUAAUGGCUCACCAAGGCGACGAUCCGUAACUGGUCUGAGAGGAUGAUCAGUCACACUGGAACUGAGACACGGUCCAGACUCCUACGGGAGGCAGCAGUGGGGAAUAUUGGACAAUGGGCGAAAGCCUGAUCCAGCCAUGCCGCGUGU
rnacentral:rRNA from 1 species